AAUCCGUGUUGUGGGCAUUGGUGGAGUAAACCCUUAUAUCAUUCCCAAGCCUCUAAAUAGCAUUCUGAGUCCAAUUGUUGGGAAAUGGUAUCUCAUCCCUUAGUUU
rnacentral:snoRNA from 1 species